rnacentral:rRNA from 1 species
GAUGAACGCUGGCGGCGUGCCUAAUACAUGCAAGUCGAGCGAACGGACGAGAAGCUUGCUUCUCUGAUGUUAGCGGCGGACGGGUGAGUAACACGUGGAUAACCUACCUAUAAGACUGGGAUAACUUCGGGAAACCGUAGCUAAUACCGGAUAAUAUUUUGAACCGCAUGGUUCAAAAGUGAAAGACGGUCUUGCUGUCACUUAUAGAUGGAUCCGCGCUGCAUUAGCUAGUUGGUAAGGUAACGGCUUACCAAGGCAACGAUGCAUAGCCGACCUGAGAGGGUGAUCGGCCACACUGGAACUGAGACACGGUCCAGACUCCUACGGGAGGCAGCAGUAGGGAAUCUGCCGCAAUGGGCGAAAGCCUGACGGAGCAACGCCGCGUGAGUGAUGAAGGUCUUCGGAUCGUAAAACUCUGUUAUGAGGGAAGAACAGAUGUGUAAGUAACUGUGCACAUCUUGACGGUACCUAAUCAGAAAGCCACGGCUAACUACGUG